UGUAUGUAGUUUGGGUGGAAAAAGAAAUCCCUUAAUCUACCACCGAACUGCUUCCACAUUUGCAAGGGAACGUGGCAGCUCUCCAGGUCUCUUGUGCCCCUUGUGCCAUGCUCCGCAGGACACUCCCCUCCUCCUUGGGAUGUCACCCGUCCCACACAGCUCAUUGCGAUGCCACCACUGCCCAUGUCCAGCACUGCUGGGUCAGCAGCAAAGGGAUGGUUAUUAGCCGGAUAAAGGGAAAAUUCAUGUUUUCGUAGCACAGCAGUGCAGGGCAAAACGCUAAAUUUGAGAAGAAAGGAAACAUAGUAUGUUUCAGGUUUUAAGCCUAAUUCUAGCAGGAGAUAACAAGACUUCUGCCCAUGCCAGAGGUGGGGUUUGGAUGCUGUUGGUGUUACGCACAAUCUGAGGGGACAGCUGAUUCAGCCACGAUGACUCCCCAGUGCUCCUGGUCUCAUUUAUAUCCAGACAGUCCUCUGAAGCCCACACAGGUGGGAUGAAGAAGAGAGACGAGCACCUUGAGCCGGAGCGCUGCCGCCUGCCUCCCUGCGGGCCGGGGGGGAAGGCGUAGCUGACGUUGGGUCAUCCAAGGAAACGUGCCCUGCUCAUACGAACCAGGGAAAGUAACAGGGGACAUCUCUGCUUCUACAAGCGCUAUCAGGGUUGGCUCUUUGGGCCAUCCCAGCCUUGAAGCUCCUGUAAAGAAGCCCGGUAGCACACAGUUUUUAAUGGAGAGGCAGCUCUUCAGUCUUGCUGAUUGGUGGCGCUCCAAAGGCCAUCGGGGCUUGUUCUCCCAACUCAUUUAAUUGCUUCCGAAAAUCCCGCGUUCUCCUCCCUGCCAACCCUCAAAGUGGAGUCACACACCAAAGGAGAUGGGAGAAGAAAACCACUUUGAGGCAUCAAGGUGACUUUUCCUCUGACAGAUGAAGACAAAGAAAAGUGUAUGAAAAUAAUUGAUGGGAUGUAGCAAACGGAGCUGGCAUCAUUUACAUACUGAACUGACAGCAUGUGCCAUUCACA